rnacentral:rRNA from 1 species
GACGAACGCUGGCGGCGUGCUUAACACAUGCAAGUCGUACGGUAAGGCCCUUUCGGGGGUACACGAGUGGCGAACGGGUGAGUAACACGUGAGUAACCUGCCCACAACUUUGGGAUAACGCUAGGAAACUGGUGCUAAUACUGGAUAUGUGCUCCUGCUGCAUGGUGGGGGUUGGAAAGCUCCGGCGGUUGUGGAUGGACUCGCGGCCUAUCAGCUUGUUGGUGGGGUAGUGGCCUACCAAGGCGGCGACGGGUAGCCGGCCUGAGAGGGUGACCGGCCACAUUGGGACUGAGAUACGGCCCAGACUCCUACGGGAGGCAGCAGUGGGGAAGAUUGAACAAUGGGCGCAAGCCUGAUGCAGCAACGCCGCGUGCGGGAGGACGGCCUUCGGGUUGUAAACCGCUUUCAGCAGGGACGAAGCUUUUUGUGACGGUACCUGCAGAAGAAGCACCGGCUAACUACGUG